rnacentral:misc_RNA from 1 species
GAGGUGUCUGAUUGUAGCUAUAGCUAGGAUUAAGAGGAUCUGAUCCCAUUUGAGGUUGUCCAUAGUAACCAUAUCCAGUCGUUUGCUGAGGUGUUUGAGACAUGGUUGAUGGGUUCAACUGAUCCCAAGAUGGUUGCUGGGUGUAGUUGCCAUAGUAAGAAGAGGGUGUAGGUUGGGUUCCUGGUUGAGCAUACCCAUAUUGGGGCUGUUGUUGCACAGUAGGUUGUCCUGGCUGGACCCAGUUACUAGCAGCAGGAUAAACUGGCUGUGCAUAGCUAUUGGAUUCAGAUGGGCUUAUAAUACGUUUCCCACUGAUUACAUCAUUAACUAAUUCUUUGGCUGUCUCAAUCUGUUCUGUUGAACCA